AUUGAACGCUGGCGGCAGGCCUAACACAUGCAAGUCGAACGAGUGGCGGACGGGUGAGUAAUGUCUGGGAAACUGCCUGAUGGAGGGGGCUAACUACUGGAAACGGUAGCUAAUACCGCAUACCAUCGGAUGUGCCCAGAUGGGAUUAGCUAGUCGGUGUGGUAAAGGCUCACCUAGGCGACGAUCCCUAGCUGGUCUGAGAGGAGGACCGGCCACACUGGAACUGAGACACGGUCCAGACUCCUACGGGAGGCAGCAGUGGGGAAUAUUGCACAAUGGGCGAAAGCCUGAUGCAGCCAUGCCGCGUGUAUGAAGAAGGCUGUCGGGUUGUAAAGUACUUUGAGCGGGGAGGCGGUACCCGAAGAAGAAGCACCGGCUAACUACGUGCCAGCAGCCGCGGUAAUAC
rnacentral:rRNA from 1 species